GAUGAACGCUGGCGGCGUGCUUAACACAUGCAAGUCGAACGGUGAAGGCGGAGCUUGCUCUGCUGGAUCAGUGGCGAACGGGUGAGUAACACGUGAGCAAUCUGCCCCUGACUCUGGGAUAAGCGCUGGAAACGGCGUCUAAUACUGGAUACGAGCUGCGAAGGCAUCUUCAGCAGCUGGAAAGAAAUUCGGUCAGGGAUGGGCUCGCGGCCUAUCAGCUUGUUGGUGAGGUAAUGUCUCACCAAGGCGUCGACGCGUAGCCGGCCUGAGAGGGUGACCGGCCACACUGGGACUGAGACACGGCCCAGACUCCAACGGGAGGCAGCGGUGGGGAAGAUUGCACAGUGGGCGAAAGCCUGAUGCAGCAACGCCGCGUGGGGGACGACGGCCUUCGGGUUGUAAACCUCUUUUAGCAGGGAAGAAGCGAAAGUGACGGUACCUGCAGAAAAAGCGCCGGCUAACUACGUG
rnacentral:rRNA from 1 species